UACGAAGGGGGCUAGCGUUGCUCGGAAUCACUGGGCGUAAAGGGUGCGUAGGCGGGUCUUUUAAGUCAGAGGUGAAAUCCUGGAGCUCAACUCCAGAACUGCCUUUGAUACUGAAGAUCUUGAGUUCGGGAGAGGUGAGUGGAACUGCGAGUGUAGAGGUGAAAUUCGUAGAUAUUCGCAAGAACACCAGUGGCGAAGGCGGCUCACUGGCCCGAUACUGACGC
rnacentral:rRNA from 1 species